UGUUUUCCGUAGGUGAACCUGCGUAAGGAUCAUUCCCAGUCUUAU
rnacentral:rRNA from 1 species